rnacentral:rRNA from 1 species
GUAAACUGAAUACCAGCUGAACCGAGCUGAUUGAACUCAAACCAACACUCGUCCAGCUGCCUAAACACUCACUCAACUCCUUUACCCUUGUUUCCAUCGUAUCCUGGUUAAGUCUCAGCUGACUGAUGUCCUUAACCUCCAUUCAGGGCCAUCAUACGCUUGUCUCAAGGUCUAAUGACCUGACUGGUGCGUCUCCCCGCACCAUGGCCCGUCCGGGCGAUCCUAUCUAGGAUCGGGGACAUGACAGCCUUAAUCGUGGUCUGCAGCAUGCGCCUCACGGUGUGCCUCGGCAUCUGCAUGCUCAUGGCAUCGGCCUGUGGGCUCCCCAUUCGACCCGUCUUGAAACACCGACCAAGGAGUUUGACAUGUGUGCGAGUCAAUGGGUGAGUAAACCCGUAAGGCGCAAGGAAGCUGAUUGGCUGGAUCCCUCACGGGUGCACAGCCGACCGACCUUGAUCUUCUGAGAAGGGUUCGAGUGUGAGCAUGCCUGUCGGGACCCGAAAGAUGGUGAACUAUGCCUGAGCGGGGCGAAGCCAGAGGAAACUCUGGUGGAGGCCUGCAGUGAUACUGACGUGCAAAUCGUUCGUCUGACUUGGGUAUAGGGGCGAAAGACUAAUUGAACCAUCUAGUAGCUGGUUCCUUCCGAAGUUUCCGUCGGAUAGCUGGAGCUCGAAAACGAGUUCAAUCGGGUAAAGCCAAUGAUUAGAGGCAUCGUGGAUGCAAUGUCCUCGACCUAUUCUCAAACUUAAAAUAGGUAGGACGGGCUGCUUUGUUGAGCCAUCCCACGGAAUCGAGAGGUCCGAGUGGGACAUUUUUGGUAAGCAGAACUGGCGAUGCAGGAUGAACCGGAAGCCGGGUUACCGUGCCCAACUACACGCUAACGUAGAGCCCACAAAGGGUGUUGGUUGAUUAAGACAGCAAGACGGUGGUCAAGGAAGGCGAAAUCCACUAAGGAGUGUGUAACAACUCACGUGCCGAAUCAACUAGCCCCGAAAAUGGAUGGCGCUGAAGCGCGUGACCUAUACCCGGCCGUUGGGGCAAGAUCCAGGCCUCGAUGAGUAGGAGGGUGCAGCGGUCGCUGCAAAACCUAGGGCGUGAGCUCGGGCGGAUUGGCCGUCGGUGCAGAUCUUGGUGGUAGUAGCAAAUAUUCAAAUGAGAACUUUGAAGGCCAAAGAGGGGAAAGGUUCCAUGUGAACGGCACUUGCACAUGGGUUAGUCGAUCGUAAGAGUCGGGGCGAACCCGUCUGAUAGCGCUUAUGUGCAAACUUCGAAAGGGGAUUGGUUAAAAUUCUGGAACCGGGAUGUGGCGGUUGAUGGCAACGUUAGAAAGUCCGGACACGUCGGCGGGAAUUCUGGAAAGAGUUAUCUUUUCUGUUUAACAGCCUGCCCACCCUGGAAACGGCUCAGCCGGAGGUAGGGUCCAGCGGUUGGAAGAGCACCACACGUCGCGUGGUGUCCGGUGCAUUCCGGCGGCCCUUGAAAAUCCGGAGGACCGAGUGCCGCUCACGCCCGGUCGUACUCAUAACCGCAUCAGGUCUCCAAGGUGAACAGCCUCUGGUCGAUGGAACAAUGUAGGCAUGGGAUGUCGAGAAAAUGGAUCCGUAACUUCGGGAAAAGGAUUGGCUCUGAGGGCUGGGCUCGGGGUCCCAGUUCCGAACCCGUCGACUGUUGGCGGGCUGCUUGAGCUGCUAACAUGGCGAGAGCGGACCGCCUAGUGUUGGCCGGGGGACGGACUGGGAACGGCUCUUUCGGGAUCUUUCCGGCCGUACAGCCAACUCAGAACUGGUACAGACAAGGGGAAUCCGAUUUGUUUAAUUAAAACAAAGCAUUGUGAUGGUCCCCGCGAUGCUAACGCAAUGUGAUUUCUGCCAAGUGCUCUGAAUGUCAAAGUGAAGAAAUUCAACCAAGCGCAGGUAAACGGCAGGAGUAACUAUGACUCUCUUAAGGUAGCCAAAUGCCUCGUCAUCUAGUUAGUGACGUGCAUGAAUGGAUUAACGAGAUUCCCACUGUCCCUGUCUACUAUCCAGCGAAAACAAGCCAAGGGAACGGGCUUGGCAGAAUCAGCGGGGAAAGAAGAUGUAGCAUCCCCGAUCCUGGAUAGGAUUGUCCGGACAAACCUUAGUGCAAGGAGACGCACCAGUCAGGUCACAUGACCUAAAGACAAGCGUGUCAUGGUCCAAACGUGGUUAAGGGAAUCAGGUAGCUGGAACUUAACCAAAAUAAGGCACAUGCAAUCUCAAAGGAGCUGGACAAGCGAGCUGGUAGCUGGACGAGAUCCGGGUGAAGCUCGAUAAAUUGAGUGAUCAGAAUCGAUCCUGGGAAAACUAAGUCUAGGUCUGUAAAUAGACCAAGGGACUUAGAAGGAUUGAAGAAGAUAAAGGAAGCAAGCUUGACACUGGGCGAUGCAGUAAGCAAGCUCGACCAGCUAGGUGAAGUGUAGUGCAGCUCGAUGUAGCUCACUGAAGUGUAGGUCAGCCCCUGAGCUGGAUGGUCUAGCUCACUCAGCUGGGUCAGCUGGGAUCAGCUCAACUCAGCUGGACUGAGUGGCUAAGUCAUGGGCAGUUGGGCCGGAUCUGGACAGUAACCGGGCCAUGUGGGUGACCCGUAAAACCGAUGGGCUGGUUGGUUCUUGGGAUUGAGCCAGGAGCUUGGGAAAUCCGUGUGGGCUUGUUUUGGACGUCUGGUAACUGCCUGAGGCGAAAGGGUGUGAUCUGGACCAUUGAUUAA